UCAACCUUUACUCUGGGUUUAGGCACACCUUACUCCAGGUUUUACUCACCCUUUACUCCAGGUUUACUCAACCUUUACUCUGGGUUUAGGCACACUUUACUCCGGGUUUUCCUCAGCCUUUACUCCUGGUUUGCUCAACCUCUACUCAGGUUUUAGUCACCAUCUAUUCCAGCUUUACACACACUUUACUCUGGGUUUAGGCACACCUUACUCCGGGUUUUACUCAGCUUUUACUCCGGUUUACUCACCCUUAACUCCAGGUUUACUCAGCCUUUACUCUGGGUUUAGGCACCUCACUCCAGGUUUUACUCAGACUUUACUGCAGGUUUACUCACCCUUUACUCAGCUUUUACACACAGGCUUACACACACUUUACUCUGCGUUUAGUCACAGCUUACUCCGGGUUUUACUCACCCUUUACUCCAGGUUUUACACACACUUUACUCUGGGUUUUACUCACCCUUUUCUCUUGUUUUACUCAGCCUUUACUCCAGGUUUACUCAACCUUCACUCAG
rnacentral:lncRNA from 7 species